rnacentral:lncRNA from 1 species
AAUGUGAUACAGAGUGAAGCUGGCUCAUGUCUGUGUAUGUGAUAUUAAGUUGGAACUGCUUUUUGGCUGUCAUCAUGGACCAUGUCACCACUUUGUCACCUGACUCCUAGAUUUUGUCAACUGUAGCUGGGUGUCUGAGAUCACUUCCAUCCCUGUGGAAUGUGCUUGCAGUGUUUGCAUGAAGUCCAGUCCGCUCAGACUCCCACACAGAGAUCACUGCUGAUGGAGCUGGUUUACUUGUAUCCUCUACAUUGGUGAGAUUAAUAUAAAGCCCUUCAAUGAGGAGGAGGAGCAAGAGGACUCCAAGAAUGUCAAGGAAGGAAGCACCCCCUCCAGCCAUUUGAUCGUAAGCUUGCUUUGAUAAAAUAAAAUAAGUAAUGACCAUUUACCUACAGCUUUUUAUCUCACCCGAAGUUGUAAUUGAGCGUUUCUCAUCCAGUUUGUUUUUCUUUCACUGAAAUAAGGAGGGAAAAAAAGAAGAAAGUUUCACAGAACCCUAGCAAUCAGUCUCCCAGCAUCUGUUUACACUUCGUAGAAUGACUGAGUAUGUGUGAAAAGAAAAUGGCAGAAAGCAAUGGCCCCAUUCCUAAACUCCUGAGGACAUUCAGUUUCUUUCCUCUCACAUUCCCUGGCUCAUCAACUGCUCUUCCCCAAAGAAGUUUCACCCUGUAUGUGCACAAAUGUGCUAUUUGGUGCUUAGGUUAACUUUAAUACUUGAAUAUUUUAUCCCUUGGUUCUUCAGUAGCUUUCACGAUUCCCUCUGCACUUAGGUGACUGUGGUAGAUGCAGCAUAAACAACAGGAUUCAUUGGCAUCUGCUUUCACAGGUUUUUCUUAUUUUCUCUAAAGUAAUAGCUCUCAAAAAUUGGAAACUAUUCUUUAAGUUUUGUUAAAACUCUGAAGGUGUAUCACAAAACAUGAUUGAACAAAGAAAUACAAAGAGAAGAUGAUGGGGAAGAAAGGACUCAAAAUUCUGAUGGAGGACCAAUAAGAUAGACUGGGAAUAAUCAUCUUGAUGUCUUAUAUAUUUGCCUUUUGUAUUUAUGAGAAAAUCACAAUAAGCAUGCUAGCCCAUAACAUCACUCUUGUAAGCUUCUUGUUCAGUUCCUGUUUAACUACAUUAAAACCUGUCUGUAAGAGCCCCACUGGGAGAGGAAAAACAUUCUCUUUGCUGGCAAGUGGUCUUUUUGUAAACACCUUCCAAUUGAAAGCACAUGUUUCUGGGUGUGAGGAGGCUCCUAGUAAGUUCCAGGGGAGCCCAUGCCAGGGAAUGAUUGAAUUACAUAGGCAAAUGCAAGAUAAUCAUGCUUAGCUCUCCCUUCCAAAAUAUACAUGGAGGUUUUUAGUGUCACAAAGCAGCUGUCUAUCCUGCUCAUCUCCACAUCUAAAUUGAAAGUCUUUCUUAGCAGUCCUACAAUGUGAUUCAACAUGGACAACCUUUCUUAUCAGUGUUAACCUAAGACCCCCAUGUUUCGUUCCCCUUCUCUAGGUCUUUUCUACCAAGAAGAAGUAGGCUACUAAGAACAUAGGCUUGAUCUUCUUAGGAAUAAGUUCUCCCCAUCAAAACCUCAUAUUUCUUCACAGUUGAUUAAAGAGAGAAGAGUUGCCAAAGUAAAUGUCUUUCCAAUGAAAAACCAAAAGAAAAAUGAUUUUCUUAAUGUAGGAAGAGUAAUAUGUAAACGAUCAUUGAAAAACAAAUAGAUAAAAAUGUGCGAAAAAUACUCUGUGUGGCUAAUACUCUGAUAAGUUUCUAUUACAUUGCUUGGAAAGAAGAGUGAGUUUGUUUCGUGGUAGAACUCAAUUAAAUUUUGGAAGUACAAAAACCAUGAAGACAUUUCCCUAAUAUCCCAAACAUUAAAACAUAAUCGAAGCUGGACUCAGUGGUGCACACCUGCAAUCCCAACUCAGGAAGUGGAGACUGGAGGAUUGCGAGUUCAAAACCAGCUUCAGCAACUUAGUGAGGCUCUAAGCAACUUAGGGAGACACUUUCUCAAAAUAAAAAAUAAAAAGGGCUGGGAAUAUGACUCAGUGGUUAAGUGCUCCUGGGUUCCAUCCCUAGUACCAAAAAUAAAAAAAAUUUAAAAAAAAUGGUGAUUUCACACAGGCUGUGAAUAAUUGCCUAAAAAUGGGGAAAUUUAUUGUACUCCAAACCCCAAAAUGUUUGAUAAGUGAACUAUACCUCACAAAUACCAGUGAAAAAAGGUCAGAUUGAUCGUGUUUUAAGCAACUUGUUAUUUAAUUAAGAUUUUCUGCAUCAACACUCACUUUCUUCUCAAAACACUAAUGAUCUAUGAUGUAGUUUUGCUUGAAACUGCAAAGGUUUUACACUGGCUGAAAGUGGUAUCAUACUUUUGUUCUCACUCAAUAACUGUGUUUUGAACAUUUACUACAGAAAGGGAAUAUAAAGGGGAAAGCCACAAUGCUUAGAUUGGAAAAUAUGGAAAAUGAAGCAAGUUCCUCUUUUCUUCUUAAAAGAAACGGCUUGUGUUAUACUUGUAUUCUGUCGCUUUAUGUAUGAAGUAGCUUAUGAAAAUGGAGCAGUAAACAUGCACAUUAGCAAUCCCAGAAGCUGCUUGAGUAACCCCCAAAAAAGAAGUAAAGAAAAUAUUAGAUCAUCCUACAGUUAAUACAAACUAGUUUGAAACUGUGGGAAACAUGCUAAUUCCAACCAAAAAAAAAAUCAUAAUCAUACUUUGUUUUUAUAUAGUGCUUUUCAGACAUGACUUCAUUAUUUAUCAGGACAUUCUUCUGAGCAUAGGUAGCAAGGGUUUCCUCCAGUUUAUAGAGGCAUAAACGUGGGCACAGAAAGAUUAAUUGAUUUCUGCUGGGCAGAGAAAAUUCAUGCUAAAAGAGGAGAGAGACCAACUUUCACAAAGGACUGCAAAGCUUGCUAUUUCUCCAAAAUAUGGAACCCAUGUAAUCAUUCACCUCUGCCACAUGUUCUUAGUCUUUUCCACAACACUGAUACUAACCAUUUUCAUAGUACUGAUUUUAAAUGUUUGGAUUUUGUCUAUUCAUUGCUUUAUACUAAUAACCAGACCCACAUAAACUGUAGUCUUUGAUUGGUUGAAUGGCAUGUCACUGACACAUAACAAAGAAAAGAUAAAAAUCUGUCAAUGGCCAAGUUUUAAUUCAAGAAAGCACAAAGGGUCCAGCUUAGAAUUGUCCUUACUUACUCCCAGCAAGUAUUAUUUAAUGCCAGAAAGAAACAUAAUGAGAGAAAUUUCAGAAGCCUAUGGUUUCAAAGAAAUUGGUAACAUAAUUAUACUACCUUUAUGAAAAAAACAUUUUUAGGAGAUUGUUUUACUUAUGAAAUUUUCCUUAUUGAAAAUAUUUUCUCUGCUGCCACCAAUUUUUCCAAUUUCCACCACUCAGUAACUCAUUCAUUGAAUUAAUAUUCAUCAGGUACUUAUAUUAUACCUGAAAAUUUCACUUGAUGUUGAGGAUCUGGUGAUAAGAUAGGCAUAAUCCUUAUUUCCAAGAAAUUUAUAAACUGUAAUCAUGAACACUAAUUCCCACAGUGACCAAACAAAAUAUCAUAAAGGAGGAAGCUUGGGCUGGGGAUGUGGCUCAAGCAGUAGCACGGUCGCCUGGCAUGCGUUCCGCCCAGGUUCCAUCCUCAGCACCACAUACAAACAAAGAUGUUGUGUCCGCCGAAAACUAAAAAAUAAAUAUUAAAAAAAAUUCUCUCUCUCUCUCUUUAAAAAAAAAAGGAGGAAGCUUGUUCUAUCAGGGAGACAACAGAAAAAGGAGAUAAUUCCCUUGUAAGGGGGUUGUUCCAUGAAAGGAUAGGCCCCAGUGCAGACAGAUUAUGGAUUUUUCAAGAGAAGCUCAAGUCUUUUGGUUCAUUGUAUGCUUUUUUAAUUGUGGAAUUACUUGCAAUUAAAUGCUUUUUAAAUUGUGCGUGCCAUGUUGUAUUUUCUUACAGACAUCAUAGGACUUAAGAGCAGAUUUUCUGGCCUUAAAUACUGAUUUUGCUCUUUCCGGAUGUGUGAAAUUGGACAAAUUACUCUGUUUUCAUUUUCUCAGCUGUAAAACAAAAUCAUGAGGAGUUUGUCUAUUAAAUAGGUUUGUUUAUAUAUUGUUUUAGAGCAGAACCUAUACACAACAGUCACUCAAUUAAUAUUUUUUAUUAUUACUAUAGUUUUGAGGAAAGAUGUGAUUAAUGAAGCUUCUACCAUAACAAAAGGACUCUGUGAGGGAGUUCAGAAUAUGGUGAAAUAGAAAAAAUGAUCCUUGACUUCACUCCCUGUAGUAUCUGUAUGGUAGGAGGCAAAACAUGGAAAUCAGAGGCACCCUUCCUGAGGAAAUUAUAUUGGAAGGAACAGUAGAACCCAGCCUGACCCAUUGUAGAUUCUAAAGCAGUCUAGUUUGGUGUACACACAGUCUGCAAGAAAAAGUGUGGUGAAUGCUGGGGCUGGAAAGGUAUUCAGGGGUUAAGUCAACUUUAAGAACAAUAGGAAAGCAACAGAAGAGCAACAUACUUUGCAUUUUCAAAAGUUCACUUUUAUUGCUACAUGGAGAAUAUAGACAUCCAACAGAUAAUAGACAGGUGGUACAUUUGGACAUUUUGAUGGGAAUCCAGGUUAAAAAAAAAUGGUGGCAUUAAAGUAGUGUUCAUGGUGAUAGAAAGGAACAAGUUAGAGUGCUUAAAAAUAUUUAUUGCGAUAAAUUGAUGUUUAGAUGGUUUCUGGAACUAAAGGAAAAAAGACAUUAGAGAUGAUUCUCAGUUUUCUGGAUUUGGUUUGGUUUAGUUUGAAAAAUUAAGUGCAUGCUGGUGCCAUUCAAUGAGAUGAGAAUUCUCAAAGGGCCACAGAUUUUGUCAGGGGGAAACGAAGUAGCAGGUUUCACAGGAUGAAUUUGAGAUGCCUGGGAGAUACCCAGGCAGAAAUAUGGGCAGGUGGAUAUGUGACUUCAGAAGUCAACCUCAAUGUUUGUCCUCCACAAAAUCACCCAUGGUCACCUCAGUGGGAAGCCCUAUUUAAACUCUGGAUGACUCUUCAUGUGUAGGAAUUUGAAGAGCUUAUUUUGUGGUGUCACAAUUUACAGUUUAACAGACAACAUGAUCUAAAUUUUGGGUUACUUACACUCUAAAAACUCAAGUUUUUCAAGCAAAUUUUAAAAGAAAUAUUUUUUCUGAAUGUUUGGGAUUGUUUCCUUAAUCUUACAUCAGCCAGAUAGCCCAUUUGUUUGCUGAGAACCAAUAUGGAUUUUGAAAUUCAGCAUUUUCCUGUUAUUAUGAAAUAAGACUUUUGUUUUUAUAAGCAACAGGUGUUUGACUGGAGAGAUGAUUCCUGUGCUAUUAAUACCAGAGAUUUAAUGAAUGCUUUGUUUACAGAUAUAUAUUUAUAACUUGUAAUUCUUUCAUUUAGUAGGCCCUGACAGGUAGAAGUUUAACAAUGAAUCUCAGAUAAAAACCUCUUUCCUCAUAGAGAUUAUAACCAAUGGAGAAGACAGAUAGGGAAGAAAUAAUAGUACAGCACGUCAUAUAUAAGAUGGUUGUGAUUUAUUGGGAGUAAAAUUAAAACUGAGAAAAUGGAAAGGAAACGUGGAGAAGAGGUAUUUUCAAUUUUCAGUGGGAUACCCCACUGAAAAAAUGAAGCCUCACAAUGAAGAUGACUCUUGAGAAUUGGCCUAAAGGAGAUGCAGGAAGAGGCUAAGCACAGACAAUUCUUCUGGAGAGAUUUGACAUAAACAGAAACAGAGAAAAGAGAGCUUUGUUGAAAGAAACACAGAAUUCCUAAAUAUUUGUUGAAAUAUAUAGGAAUAUAUAUUUAGGAGAGUGGUGAUAUAAAAAGGGGAUUUUUGUUGUUGUUGUUGUUUUAAAAAAAUUUUUUUUGAAAACUUAUUUAGAGAAAUAAUUUUCUUCUGCCCAUGAUAGCGAUAUAGAUUUUAACUAACAAACAAAAAUCAAGAAGUACAUAUCAGUACAGAUUUAAUUCUAUUCUGGGGCCUAUCCUAUAAACUAUGCCAUUCUAACGCCAAGAUAUUUUCAUUCCAAAGUGAUAUUUUACUUAACAACUAAAAUUUUUAAAAAAUUAAAUUUUCAUGCACAAUGAAAUCAGAUGUGGAAACCCAGAAAAAUUUAAAAUGUGAAUCAGUUUACUGGAAUAUUUUAUUUAAAUGAAAUAUGAUUCCCUGUGAUCUGGGACCCAAUAAUAAUCCUAGAAUUAUGUAAUUAUUAUAUUUGCCCAAGGGAAAAAAAAACAUGAUUUCUAAACUAAAUGAAUUAUACCUAUUACUAAUGUUCCUAUGGGCUUUUAACAUUUAUUCAGUUUAGUUUAUAUUUCAUCUGGAAGUCUUUUGCAGAAAAUCUGGAAUGAUUUUCACUUAGUUGGAAAGUGAGAAACUUUGGAAAAUAUUCAACCUCUGUGUAGUAGGUGCUGAAUAAAUGUUAGUUAAGUGGAUGAAUGCAUGCAUUAAUGAAUAUAUGAGUGAAUGAAGAGUUCUAUGAAUGGUUUAUGAAUAAAUACAUAAAUUUACUGUGUCAUAUAUAAUGCAGAAAAUAUUUUGUCUAAACAUCAAGAAAAUCACAAGUCCCCCUUUAUGAUUUCUUUGUUUGUUAAUAGGAACAACAUUGGAAGAUACAAAAUCAGAGCAGUGAAAAAAAUCAUCAUUAUUGAACAUUCUGGAACACACUGGAUGGAUAGAAUAUAGGAAAGAAUGACAGGGAAGGUUCAUGUCUAACCCAGGUGAUUUUUAUGCACAUUGAUUAUAUCUUUAGGAGGCUUCUUUUCCCUUACAAUGAGGAUUAAAGUUAGGAUUAGGGUAAAGGGAGCUUCUUAAAAUACAAGGUGUCACUCCUGGGAUAUAAUUGCCUCACCUGAAAAGAAGGUGAAAGUUACUUCUUCUCCUUUGAGUCAGGAACUGGUGAUCUCCCUCCCUCCCCUUCAUACACUUCCCCAACUCUUGCCACACACACAACUCCCAAGGCAUCCAUGAAUUGAAAGAUUUAUAUGAACUCUUACAAAGGAUAUGACUGUUUUCAUACAAGCGGUUUCUCUACCCACUCAUCUCCCAAGGAAGUUCCUUAACAGGUAGCAAAUUGAGGCAAGGGAUUGAGACUAAUACUCAAAAGGCAUUUUAGAGAGGUUCACCUCAGAAUGUUUUAGGAAAGAAAAAAAAGAUCUAUUUCUCUCUCUCUCUCUCGAUAGAUAGAUAGAUAGAUAGAUAGAGAUAGAUAGAUCAACAGAUAGAUAUAACUUUCCACUAUAGAAAAGACUUGCAAGUUUUUUUAUUUUUUUUAAACUCUUAGGCUAGUUAAAAUAUUUUCUUCUACUUUCCUUUUUCCCAGUUUGGUAAUAAAUGUGGGUCAAUUCUCACAGAAUUCUGUUUAAAAACAAAAAUAAAACAGAUAAAAUGCCUCUAGGAGCACAAUUGGGUAGAAAUUAAUCAAAGAACCCAGCUCCUCUGAGCCAAGCUGCCACACAGCCCACUAAGCCCCAAAGUGGGGAUUUCCAUUCAAAUAGUUGCAAAAUAGUCUUUGAUACUUUAUAUUCUUUAUUCAUGGUAGCCUUGUUACUUCAGUCAAACAGAAAAAAUCCUGUCUUCUCUAAUGAAAAGGAAAUUAAAUUAAAUUUAAAAGAAGGGCAGUUUGUUGUUUGUUGUUAGACAAUAGACACUAGGAGGGUAAUGAAGUAAAUGCAGAAAAGAAAGAUGUAGGACAGAAUUUCCCAUUUUUUCCCCACAGAACUCUAGUUAAGCCAGAUGCUCCAAGAAAAGUGUGCUCCACAGUGGAACACAGCUCUGUAGUUCUGCAUAGACUGUCCUCUCAGGGAACACAAGAUGUUCAUUAAAAUCAUAAAGGCCCCAAAAUACUAUGGCAAAGAAAUCCAUUGAACCCAGUUUUUCCAAAAUUUAUGAGUCCAUAAAGCCUUUUAAAGUGUAAUACACAUGAUAAUCCUGAAGAGUUAGUGAUACGGAAUCUGCCUGGAGCAUUCCUGGACGAAAAGUGCAAACACAUCUAAGUGUACACACAGCCAGGCCCCAGGGAAAUGGCAUCGCUUAGAGGUAAUCAAAGCCUUUGGUAGAAAACAUAACCUUAUGAUGCUCAGAGCAUGGAAAAAAGAAAUUACAUAGGCUGGGAACCAUGUACCCCACCACUUAGGGGUAGUUGGAAUUAGAAAGAAUUAAAACAAAGUCAAGAAACUGAAAACAAAAUCUUAAUUAUUAAAUUUACUAGACUAUAUUGUUAAUUAAGCUGUCUGGUGGUAUCAGAUACACGUUCUCUAGUAUAAAAGUAUUUAGAUCACAAUAUUUGUUUUAGUAAACUUUGAAUGCUGAGUUCCAUCUGUCUUUGCAAAACUGUACUUCAACAGAAUACUAAUGGUGAGGGUAGCAGGCUCACAAAGCUUCUUGGACAUUAAAUUUCUUUUACAAAACAAUAAUUUGUUGAAUUAAGUGCCAAUGGAACAGAUGGAUUAAAUUUCCCUCACAAUGAGCACAAAUUAAAAAAUUAAAGAGAAAAAAAAUACUUGGUAAAACCAGCUUUGUAUUUUGCUGGAUCUAAAACAUUUAGGAAAAUGGUUUGAGAUGUUUGGCUAAAGCCCAGUGCCACCAAGCCUGCCUGGCUCCAGACACCAGUCCCAUUUACUGAGGAUUUCUAUUAAGCAAACAGAUGGGCGGGUGGUUUAUUACCAAUUUCUCCACAAAUGUGAAGCUUGAAUGUAAUAUUUCUGGAAGGACAAAAGUCAUACACUUCAUGCUUGUACAAAGGUGGGUUGAGAUCUUUGAAAAUAACCUAUGAUAGGGAAUUAAUUUUUAAAGACAUUAAUUGUAUCAGUAUAAGAUAAAAGAGAAAGAGGUACCUAAAAAAAAAGUUAAAAAAUUGGGAGCAUGUUUUAUGUGUAGCUCAAAUUUCUGAAGCCAUUAUUGUGAAUAUAAUUACUCAGGUGCUAUUUAGAAUAACAUGUAAUUUUAUGAAACAUAUUUAGGAAAAAAGCAAAGAUUUUGUUAAUGCACACUUUUUUUAAAAAAAUAUUAAUGGAAUUUAUUUUUAGAGCAGUUGUAGUUUCACCAAAAAACUGAGUGAAAAGUACGGAAUUCCUGUAAAGAAAUGCCCUAUUCUCGCCACUCAGCCACCCCAUUAUGACACCCCUCUCCAGCAUAGUGCAUUUCUUAGGAUUAGUGAACCUACACUGGCACAUUAUUAUCAAGCUUGUAGUUUACAUAAGUUUCAGUUUGUGUAUGCUCUUAACAAGGAGGUAACUUGUUAUUCUGUAUUAAUUAUCUUAUCUCCAACCACUAACAAUGACGCUAAGUGUAUUGUUAGUGGGUAUUUGAAAUUAAAGGAGACUGGAACUAAUUUUUGUGCUUGUUUUGAAAGCAAUAAUUUAUAAACUUCAUUAAUUUAUUCAAUUUCAAGAAAAAAUAAAUUGCAGAAGAACAUAAGUCUUACAUACUAACUCAUCCCAAGAAGGAGACAAACCUCAUAAAUUAUUGAAUACCAUUCUAAUUUGAAAUUUUUCUAAUAUGUUGAACUCUUAAGUGUGUCAACCACAUGUCCUCUCUUUCAUUAGGGAGAUAUACAUGUGGCAAGAACUUUGAUGCUGAGAUUCUGAGUCCAGAGACUGAAAUUCAGUUUCUUGAAUUAUGAUGCCUCUCUUGAUCCAUAUACUGGAUAGAACAAAAUAUCUAAGGGAGAGCUUAAAAACCAUGACCCAUUCAUUUUCUGAGCAUGCUGUUGCUGAAGGUCUGGUGUACCCAGUGACCACUGCAUUCCCAUUACAACCCAAAGAAUCAUUAUAGUAUUUGCAAUGCCCCAAAAUUUUGGACAUACAGGAUUUUUUAUAAGUAGAGAGAGCUAAAAACUCACUCGCACAUGUCAUCUCAUCUGGGGUGGAAGCUUUCUGUGUUUAUUUGGGUUUUAUUACUUCUCUAUUAUUUUUGCACAUCAUAGUAAGGAUAACAGAAAAUAUUUUUUUUUAUUUUUUUCAAAUCAGACAAUAUAGAUAAAAAACCCAGAACAACAUAAUAUUCAAUUUCAGUUCCCAAUAACAUGAUAAAAACCUCCCUGCCCUUCUGUCUCUGUCUCUGUCUCUCUCUCCCUCUCUUCCUCACUUACUCUUUAUUGUUACUUUCCCAAAUUCAUAUUCCCUCAUCCUUGAAAUAACCUUCAGCCUCCAAUUUUGGCUCUCAUCGUCACAUUGGCCAUAAUUUGGUCUAGGAUUCCAGGGUUAAAGCACUUGGUUCAGGUUUAGCCAAUCUAGCACCUGGACAUCUACCUCUUACUCCCUAUCCCCCAAUUCAUAGUGGUGAGUAGAGAACUGGUCUGUGACCAGAUCUUUUCCAAACUGGAUUUUCUGCUAUGCAAACCAACACAUUAUCUUUUUAGCUUAAGUUUAUUUGAGUUUGUUUUCUUCUCAUUUGAAAAAACACUCUUGGUACAACCUUUCAGACAUUUUCUUGCUGCUAUUCAUACAUACAUGCUUAUUUAAUGCAAUUACUUCUAUGAAUUAAGUUUUCCAGCAACUGAGAGAGCUUAUCCUCAGUGAUUUUAAUUUUGUAAUACAAUUUAUAGACUUAGAAUGAAAGUUAAUACUAUAUUAAGAACAUUAAAAAAAAAAAACAGGCAUGGUGGCGCAUAGCUGCAGUCCCAGCAGCUUAGGAGGCUGAGGCAGGAGGAUCGCUAGUUCAAAGCCAAUCUCAGCAAUCGCAAGAGCUAAGCAACUCAGUGAGACUCUCUCUCUAAAUAAAAUACAAAAUAGGGCUAGGGACGUGGCUCAGUAGUCAAGUACCUCUGAGUUCAAUCCUGGUACUCCCCUCCCAAGGAGUGGGGGGGGACAUAGAAAGGUCCUGAUAACUUCCUUAGACUGUUUUGUUUUUCUAAAACACCUGCAACUUUGGAAGACUUUUUUUUUUUUUUGGUAAAUUUUCUGCUUUGAUAUACAGUAUUGCAAUGCAGAAAAGAUCACUGGCUUUUAAAAUAGUCUUGCUCUAUGUUCUCUUAAUUGCUUCUCAUAUUUGAGUGCCAUUUAUUUGGAAUACAACCCAUUAAUUUUAAUUUUAGCCUCAAUUUCUCAUUAAAAUCAUCUUGACUUGGACAAACAAACAUGGAUUGAAUAUUUUUUUUUAAAAAAGCACAUGUCCUGUUUUAAACAUAUUUAGUCUAUAAAUUCACAAUCUCUUCUUAAUUCUGUAUGAGAACUACAGCUUCCUUGUUCCUCUUUCAACUACUUAGGUGAGCACAUUUCUAAUCAAGCCACUGUAGGUGUUCAAUAUGAUCAUAUUUAGAGAGUAGCUUAUAGAUACAAAGAAUGAAGUAAACAUCAGCUUUAAGAAUUCCAAACUUACCUUCACUCUUCUCCUUUAUCCACCUCAACCGUGCUGGUAUAUAGGAUAAGUGACCUGAGAAAAGAAAUGAGAUCAUUUCUGGCCUUUCCUUCUGAAUACUCUACUGAAUAUUUAUUUUUUGACAACUUUUAAUAUUUAACAGGAAAGAGAAAAAAACUACAGUUCUUGAUCACUCUGAGGAGAUGAGAAUGACUUAAUCAGGAGAAUCCACAUGGAUAUCAUGAAAAGAAACAGAAAAAACUAAAGUCUUCUAUAGUUAAGAAUACUAAUAUGACUGAAAUGUUUUAAAAGAUUAUUGAUUUUAAAGUGUUCUUUAAUAUGAAAACAACAUUGAUUGUGAGAAAACAUGUGAGCAAAUAUUUGUUAUUUAUCCAUGAGUAGAUCAAGACAAUUAGUAACAAACUGAGUUCUAAUUUUUUAUAUCAGCUUUAAUAUUUUAUCCUCCAAAGAGAAAAACGUCAUCAUCAUUUGGCACCCACAAAUAGAAUUUGUAAUCAAAGUUGUUUUUGGCAGACUAGCACAACACAGGAAGCCAGUGGACUGGGCCAAAUAUUUUAGUAGUCUGAGUAAAAUUUCCCCAAAUCUAUUAGCAAUUGGGAAACAAGUUUUACUAAAGCAAAGUAAACAUCCUCAAAUGUACCACUGGUCUCCCAGAAAUUGAAAGUUGCAUAGAGUAGGGGUCUAAAGGACUAAGCUUAAAGCUUCUGGUGAGAACCCAGUCUCUUGUUUAAGGUUCUCAAUUAAUAUCUUUGAAGAGCCAUUCCUUGAUGACCACUGACAAAUUCAAGAAAGACUGCUGUGUCUUGCUGUAACUAUAAUAUUGUGCUAACCCUUCUGUUAAAAUAAUCAAGCUGUCACCUUAUCUACCCAAUAGGUAAAUGGGAAUAACUAGCAGAUAGAAAUACCUUUGGAGGCCAAAAUUCUCUAACACACAUACAGUUGCAUAUUUCUAGACAUACAGAAAAAGUGACAUUAUAAAAGAAAAACAGAAAAAAAUAUAUAUAUUGUGGAUAGGAAGCAUGGGGUAAAUAAAUAGGUAUAAUUGAUAUGUCAAUAUAGAGGAAAACAAAUCUAAUAAAGAGAUGGAGAAUUCCAGAGACAUAAAAUCUACCUAUGUAAAAACAUCAGUCAUUAGUAUGUCGUGGGAUGAGCUGAGUAGGAGAUGUGUCACAAGCAGAAGACAAGGAUAAUGAACUUAAAGAGAAGUCAAUAGAACAUAGGCAAAGAGGAGCAGAGGAAGAAACUAAAGGGGGGAAAAAGGAAACAUAAGAAAAUUUGGGAGCAUAACAAAAGGGUAAAAAUAUAGUCAUUGAUGUCUCAGAAGAAAAAUAGAGAACUUGACCAAAGCAGUUUUCAAAGAGAUGAGGCCAAUUAUUACCGAAAAACACCAACCACUAGAUUUAUGAAGGUCCCUGAAUCCCAAGUUGGAUAAAUAUAAACAAGAGCACACUAUGUGUAUUUUAGUCAUAGCAAUGAAAAAAUGAAAGUAAAGCGAAAAUCUUAAAUCUGUUAGAGAAGGCCAAAAAGAAAUAUUACUUUCAAAGAAGAAAUAAUAAUAAGAUUAACAGUUGACUAUUCAGCAGAAAUUAUAAAAAACAGAAGAGAAUGAAACAGCAUCCUUAAAGUACUGAAGAAAUAAAAUGCCAACUAAAGUUCUAUGCAUGGGAAAAUAUUCUUUAAAAAUGAAAACUAGAUAGGAUGAUUUCAGUUAAUAAAGGCUAAAACUUUGUUGCAAGCAGAGUAGUUUUACCAAACACACACACACACACACACACACACACAAAGAUGAAAUCAUUCACGUUAAAGGAAAGAAAUUCAAGAAGGAUAUAGAGCAAAGAAAAGAGUAAAUGUGUAUGUAAAUAUAUUUUUGAAAAAUCAGCAUCUAAGAUAGCAGUAAUAUCUUAGGAUGUUUCUAUCAAUCUAACACAAUUAAACAGAGACAUUUAUAAAUCACAGAGUUAAGUGCAUGUCAUAGCUUAAAAUAUAUAUAAAGAAAUAUAGAAAUAAUAAUUCGAGAUUUUUAUUUAAUAUGCCUGUCUCAAUGACUGACAGAAGUAGUAGAUAAGAGAUAUAGAAGAUUUGAGCAACAUGAUCAGUAAUUUUAUUUAAUUGAUAUUUACAGAACACUGCACUAAAAAAUGAAUUUUUAAUAUUAUUUUGAAGCUCAAAUAGGUUGUUUGUCAAAAUAGACCAUUUACUGUCCAUAAAGUGAAUCUCAAUAGUUUCAAAAGAUUUAAAUAACACAGAAUAUAUUCUCUGACUACAAUGGAAAUAAACUAAAAAUAAAUAAUAACAUUUUAACUAGAAAAUUCUCCAAUAUAUGGAAAUCUAAUAAUACAAUUUUAAAUAAACAUGAUAAAAGGAGAAAUCACAAUGAAAGUAGAAAAUAUUUUAACCUGAAAGCUAAUGAUAACAGGACCUAAACACUAUGGUAGGCAGAUAAAGUAGUACACAUUGUGAAGUUUAUAGGUCUAAAUUCAAAUUAAAAAGGGUGAUUAUAGUUCAAUGAUAUAAACUUCUAUUUAAGUAAUUCGGGAGAAUUUCAAAGUAAAUUAAAAAAAAAAGAAAUAAAAUAAAAAACAAAAGAGCAAAUUUUAGUGAAAUGGAAAUAGGUUUCCAAUAAUCAACAAAACCAAAUAGGCAUUUUGAAAAGAUCAAUAAUAUUAAUAAGCUAUUUUAAAGAAAAUAAUCCAGAAAACAAGAGAGAAAAGGCAAAUUACUAAUAUCAGGAAUGAAUGUAAAAAUAUCAGUGAAAGGUUUUAGACAUUGAAAACAUAAUGAGACACUAUCCAUCACUUUAUGCCAGCAAGUUUGAUAAUUUAAAUGAAAAAAGAAAAAUUUCUUAAAAAUACUUUGGCAUAAUAGUGACAAAAAGAAACUCUGAAUUUGAAUCUACAGUUAAAUUGCUUUUCUCAAGAACAUUUUGGCCCAGAAGUUCUUACUGAUGAAAUUGUUCCAAAAAUUUAAGAAGAAUAUUGUUUGUGAUCUUUUUUUUUUUUUUGGAAAUAUAUCCUAUCCUAAUUUAUGAGACUAGCAUGACCUCAAACUGAAACCCCAUUUUAAUUUAAAGUUAAGAAAAGGCAAAAGUUUUCCUCAAGUGCUUUGCUAAAUGAAUGAUUUAAAUGGGUUUAAACAUUUUAAUAAUUUUUCUGAAUGAAAAGUUUAUGACUCCUUCCAAAGAUUGUUCCAGUACUUGAUACUGUCUCUACAUAAAUAGAAACCUUUGGCAGUUAUCCAAAUAUUAGACAAGAACAAAAUGAUAAAAUUUGACCCAUUUCAUAUUAAUAAAAUAUAUUCCUGUUUAGCAUUGAAAAAUGACUCAAUAUUUUUUUCUUUUUUUUGCCUCAAUGUAGUUUGCUGACAUAAAAUGAAUAUUUAUGUGUGAGUCAAAUUCUGCUUUAACAUGCUCAGUUGGUUGGGUAGAGUACUAGAAUUUGGAGAACAUGAUACUAGAGAAUCUUUACUAUGUACUAGUCACUGGAGGGAAAAGUUUUAGAUCCAUGUCAAGUGAGGUAAUAAGUUUGUUAAAAACUUUUUCACCUAUAUAUUUACAUAAUAAGUCUUUAUGUUUUUCAUUUAUUAUUUGAAAACUGCCUGUUUUAAACAACAGGCAGAUAUUAGCAGCAACAAUUGGCUCAAAAUAUUUUGUUUGUUUCUAUUUAGGUGGGGUUUUUUCCUUUUAAUUAUUUCACAUGAAGUGUUGUUCUACUUAGUAUAAGAUGAUUAGAUAGCUAUAAAUAUGCUAUUUUAAGCAUAUAAUCAUUAUAAUUAAAUAAUUACUUAAAAUAUGAAAAGUUUUUACUAAUGAGGAAUUAAAAAUGGCAAUAUCUUUCUAUAGAAAGGGAAGUAGAAUACAAAAAACAGCUAUCCAGUAUGUGGCAUACACAAACAGGAAAGAUACCAAAGAGGGUUUCAUUUAUAUAUAUAUAUAUAUAUAUAUAUAUAUAUUUAUUUAUUUAUUUCAAAGGUUAAAAUGAGUUAAAUAUAUUAAAUGGUGAAAAGUGUAAGAACUUUGUCUUCAAUAAAGCACUUUUUUUUCCCUUAAUAAAAACAUUAUCUAGUGCACUUUCCUGUAAGCUGCUCUGCCAUCUUAUAUUACUAUACACAUCUUUCUAUUCCAUAUACUUAUAGAUAUACAUACCAACAUAUUUGUGCUUGAUACAUGUAUGUCCCAGUUUUGGUGAAGCAUAAAUUAAUUUAUAAUUAAUUCUAUAUUUUAGGAAAUUUUUUGCCUUUCUAAUUUUUUUUCAAUUUGGUAAACUGUGAAUUAUAUGUAAUUAAUAUAUUUACAAUGAAAUAUUUUCCUAGAUCCAUGAUGAUUUUAGGGAAAAUUUCUCAGAAUUUUGUGUACUUGUAUUUUAAUGAAUAAGUUGCUUUUUUUUUCCAAAACAUAUCUAGACUAAGCAAAAUAAGUACACCGUAUACUAUAACCAACAAAGAAUACCAAACUUCAUAUAUAUAAUUUUUUUCCUUGACUUAUUUUCUUUUUAAAUUUUAACAUUGGUUUUUAAUUUACAAAAGUCUAGUUUUACUUUGAGGGAGAUAGGACGUGAGGAUGAAAUCUUUCCAUCUUUUUCUUUAUGACUUCUGCCCUUGAUAGUAUAUUUAGAUAGGUCUUUCUUACCUUAAUAUACAUAUUCCCUACAUUUCAUUUUAGUACUUAUGUGGUAUUAUUUCAAACACAUAAGUCAUAUUCAAGAUCAUGGAAUCUAUUAUUGUUUGAAUCUUGAAGGUCCCACAGAGGACCAGAUAUUAAAGUCUGAGUCCCCAAGGUCACACCAUUGGGAGGCAAUAAAAAACUUUGAGAGAUGGAGCCUUGUGGGUCCUUUGGUCACCCAGGAAGUGCACUUGAAGCAGAUUAUGGGAACCUAGUCUUUACCUCUUUCUCUCUUUGUUUCUUGGCCAUGAGGAGAAGUUUUACAGUAUCAUGUGCUCCGACCAUGAUGCCUUGCCACAGGUUCAAAGCAAGGAGCCAACCAAUCAUGGGUUGGAAUCUCCAAUACUGAGACAAAAUAGACCUUUUCUCCUGAAAGGUUGUUUAUCUCAAAUAUUUGUUACAUGACAGAAAACUAACUAAAAGCAUAUAUACCCCAUUUUUAGAUAUUCUUUUUUGAUACUUUGUAAGGAAAUGCAAUGUACAUACUAAAAUAAUUAUGGUAAGUCUCUUAUAUGGUCAUGUAUAUUUUUCAUUGCUAUUAUGAAUGGAGUAUGUUCAUCAUUAUUUCUGAAAUUUAAGGAAUACAUAGAUAUUUUUGUAUAUUCCUCUUCCUCUCUGUUGACCAUUACCAAAUAUUUCAUUGGUUGCAAAAAAUUUCAUAACGGAUUUCCUUGAGAUUCUCUGAAAUUUCUCUUGAGCUACUAAAAUGUGGAUUAGGCUCAUAGAUUUCACCUAAUAUAUGAAAUGCCUGAUGGGUGUUGUACACCAUCCCAAGCAUAACUAGAAAGUGACUAACAUACAGUAAACAUAGUCAUUAAAAGCCUAGAAAUGCUUAAUAUCAUUCAGCAAGGAGCAAUCAAAUGCCAUUUUCAAAGUAUACACAAAGAGUAUGUGGCAAUGAAGAUCAAAAGAUCUGAGAGUGGUGAGGUAAAUUAUUUCUGUCAGGCACAGGUCAGAUGAGGUUAAUGAUCAAAUGUUUAUAAAAGGAGAUCAGCUUUUGGUCAGAGUCAGAGGCUAACACGAAUAGUAGGGCCAGAUGGAUUCUGUGAAGCAGCAGCUCAGAAUUUAAUAUCUCCGAAUCCCUAUAGAAAACCAGGCAAAGCAAUUGAAUACAAACUGAAAACUUUUGGAGAACCUUAACAACAAAACUAGUUUAUAAGGUAUUUCUAUGAACCACAAAACACAAAGUUCAAGGAACAAAUUCCCAACAGCUAAAAGACCUAGAUUGUAUCAGAGUCUACAUGAGAAGAAGCAGAAAGAGGUAGCAUAACAUUUAAUGAUGUCAGUUCAAGAGAAUAUCCAAAUAGCUCAUAAUGUUAUUUUAAAGGACAAUGGUAUAAUUUGAGAACAGCAGUGUGAACUAGCAGUGCAACACAUGAACUCUGUUAAGUUUUAUGUUGCUGCUAUAACAUCACAAACAUAGUGGUUUAAAAUAAUAAAAACUUAUUAUCCCACAGAGCUGUAGGUCAAAAUCCUAUAGGCCCAGAUAUUUCUCUACUCCAGAUCCACGUGAUCAAAAUCAAGACGUUUGAAGGGCUGACUUCCUUACUGGAGACUCUCAAGGGUGACUCUGUUUCCUGUCUGGUUUAGUUUACUGGCAGAAUCUCCCGUGACUGUUGGAGUAAAUUCCUCACUUCCUCAUUGACUACUGACCAUGAGUCAUUCUCAGCUUCUAGAAACUGCUCAUAUCCUUGGUUUCGUCUCCUUCCUCUGUUUUCAAAGACUGCAAUCACAAAUCAGAUCUUCUCAUAUUUCAAAUACAUCUAAAUUCUCCCCUAUUGAACCUCUGUGGGUUCAAGUUUGAUAAGUUUUUCUGCUUUUAAGGUGGUUGUGAUUAGAUUUGAGUUCACCUUAAAAAUUCAGGAUAAUCUUCCUAUUUUUAAAAUUAGUCCCUUAAUAACCUUAACCACAUCUGUGGGGUUCCUUUUCAAAAGUAUUUAGAUUAGUGUCUGGUUAUAUAACUACUUAAUAGAAAUUUUGUGGGUCAUCUCUAGAAUUCUCCCUGUCCUAGGAUAUGUGGUAAUUUCUGAAAGGAUUGGAGUAGUCUGAGAUAAACGAACUUGCAAAACCAAUCAGGUAAAGUUCUUUUCCAGAAAAGGCACCUAAUGAAAAAAAAAAAAAACUGCUGAGUGGAGACAAAAUUGAAUAAGAUACAGGCAGAAGAUACAAAUAAAAGAGAAAAUCUAGAUUAAAGUGUGGGAGAAUAAAGAGACACAGUAGUGUGCAUAAACAGAUAUAGAUGCAUUUCCCUGUAACUGUUCAAUAAAAACACCCAGAGGAAAAAAAAUUACAAGUUCUGGGCAGUUAGAUUUUGAUUUUAAAAUAUGACUUGCCACUUAAAGAAAUCAAAGCUUUAAUGAAAAAUAGAUAAUUUCAAGUGUGAAGGGGAAAAUAAAGAGGGCAAAUCUGGAACACUUGAUAAAUACUAAGGUUAUGUUAGAAAGGUUUAGACCAAUCAGAUAGGUAUCCAUGGAAGAAUUUAAUUUUCAAAAUCAUAACACUUUUAAUUCAUUAUCUUGGAAAUUGGUACAUAAAAGGAAAAUAAUCAAGUAAUUAUCUUGGCUUUCCUAUACAAACUAUACUAUGCAGUUAACAAACAACAUAAUAGGGAAGUCAUUUCUUUGUGAAAUUAUUUCAGGUAGUACAUGAAAGGGAAAUUUUAUGAAUAUUACUGUUUUGUAAUUUCUGGUAACCUAAAAGAUCCAGGCAUUGAGCAUCAAUGGCUGGUAACAUCUAGGUGAAACAACCAAUUCUGAUAAACCCAGCAUUAAAUGUAACCUUGCCAAAUUGAUAAACACAUUUUAACACAAAUUUGGUUUCACCUGUCAAUCAGCAGGAAACACAAUGGACAAAUCAUGCUAUGUUUGAUCACGACGUCACCAAAAUCCAGACUAUGGGAAACUUCCAGAGGGAAUUAUGAAGAUUCUUCAACAGAACUGGAAAAAAGAGAAAGGAAUGGAAGAAGGAACUAGUCAAUUAAUAAAGGAUUAAAAGACAGUUCUUUAAAACAAAGAUAGGUAAUACUCAACUAUUGUACCUAGUGAUGCACAAUUGGGAGAUAAAAUUAUUUAAAAAUGC